rnacentral:rRNA from 1 species
AUUGAACGCUGGCGGCAGGCCUAACACAUGCAAGUCGAGCGGAUGAAGGGAGCUUGCUCCUGGAUUCAGCGGCGGACGGGUGAGUAAUGCCUAGGAAUCUGCCUGGUAGUGGGGGAUAACGUCCGGAAACGGGCGCUAAUACCGCAUACGUCCUGAGGGAGAAAGUGGGGGAUCUUCGGACCUCACGCUAUCAGAUGAGCCUAGGUCGGAUUAGCUAGUUGGUGGGGUAAAGGCCUACCAAGGCGACGAUCCGUAACUGGUCUGAGAGGAUGAUCAGUCACACUGGAACUGAGACACGGUCCAGACUCCUACGGGAGGCAGCAGUGGGGAAUAUUGGACAAUGGGCCGAAGCCUGAUCCAGCCAUGGCGGGUGGUUGAAGAAGGGCUUCGGAUUGGAAAGCACUUUAAGUUGGGAGGAAGGGCAGUAAGUUAAUACCUUGCUGUUUUGACGUUACCAACAGAAUAGGCACCGGCUAACUUCGUG